rnacentral:lncRNA from 1 species
AUUGAGAAACCUACUAGCAAGUAUCCACUUAUAAUAAUAGUAAUGAUAAUAACAAUAAUUAAUGAAAAACAUACACGUGAUCAGCCACAUAGUAUCUGGCAUAGGGAUUCCCGGCUAGAACAACAACACCCUACACAAGGAGAACAUUGAUCAAAGAAAUAUAAAAGAAAAAUGUGAAACAUAAAGCAAGUGCCUUUAUUGAAAGUCAUUAAUAUCUGAUAUAUGGGAAAAGACAUACUCGAACAUUUUUGUUGCGAAUAAAUUGUUGAGAGCACUUGUUAUAACUGAUCCAUGUUAGAGCUGAGUGGGGAUCUUGUGUUGGAGUUGGGCCUUCGGGAUUUUGUGUUGCCAUGGUUGGUUUCAGUGUUGCC